rnacentral:rRNA from 1 species
UACGAAGGGGGCUAGCGUUGCUCGGAAUCACUGGGCGUAAAGCGCACGUAGGCGGCUUGUUAAGUCAGGGGUGAAAUCCUGGAGCUCAACUCCAGAACUGCCUUUGAUACUGGCGAGCUUGUGUCCGGGAGAGGUGAGUGGAACUGCGAGUGUAGAGGUGAAAUUCGUAGAUAUUCGCAAGAACACCAGUGGCGAAGGCGGCUCACUGGCCCGGUACUGACGCUGAGGUGCGAAAGCGUGGGGAGCAAACGGG